GCCUGGGUGGCUUAGUCGGUUAAGCGGCCGACUUCGGCUCAGGUCACGAUCUCGCGGUCCGUGAGUUCGAGCCCCGCAUCAGGCU
rfam:Felis catus isolate Cinnamon breed Abyssinian chromosome B1, whole genome shotgun sequence.